rnacentral:rRNA from 1 species
AUACGAAGGGGGCUAGCGUUGUUCGGAAUUACUGGGCGUAAAGCGCGCGUAGGCGGAUUGGUCAGUUAGGGGUGAAAUCCCAGGGCUUAACCCUGGAACUGCCUCUAAUACUGCCAGUCUUGAGUUCGGGAGAGGUGAGUGGAAUUCCUAGUGUAGAGGUGAAAUUCGUAGAUAUUAGGAAGAACACCAGUGGCGAAGGCGGCUCACUGGCCCGAUACUGACGCUGAGGCGCGAAAGCGUGGGGAGCAAACAGGAUUAGAAACCCCAGUAGUCC